rnacentral:rRNA from 1 species
AUUGAACGCUGGCGGCAUGCCUUACACAUGCAAGUCGAACGGCAGCAUGAUCUAGCUUGCUGGAUUGAUGGCGAGUGGCGCACGGGUGAGUAAUACAUCGGAACGUGCCCUGUAGUGGGGGAUAACUAGUCGAAAGAUUAGCUAAUACCGCAUACGACCUGAGGGUGAAAGUGGGGGACCGCAAGGCCUCAUGCUAUAGGAGCGGCCGAUGUCUGAUUAGCUAGUUGGUGAGGUAAAGGCUCACCAAGGCGACGAUCAGUAGCUGGUCUGAGAGGACGAUCAGCCACACUGGGACUGAGACACGGCCCAGACUCCUACGGGAGGCAGCAGUGGGGAAUUUUGGACAAUGGGCGAAAGCCUGAUCCAGCAAUGCCGCGUGUGUGAAGAAGGCCUUCGGGUUGUAAAGCACUUUUGUCCGGAAAGAAAUGGCUCUGGUUAAUACCUGGGGUCGAUGACGGUACCGGAAGAAUAAGGACCGGCUAACUACGUG